rnacentral:rRNA from 1 species
AGCGAACGCUGGCGGCAGGCCUAACACAUGCAAGUCGAACGAACCUUUCGGGGUUAGUGGCGGACGGGUGAGUAACACGUGGGAACGUGCCUUUAGGUUCGGAAUAACUCAGGGAAACUUGUGCUAAUACCGAAUGUGCCCUUCGGGGGAAAGAUUUAUCGCCUUUAGAGCGGCCCGCGUCUGAUUAGCUAGUUGGUUGAGGUAAUGGCUCACCAAGGCGACGCUCAGUAGCUGGUCUGAGAGGAUGAUCAGCCACAUUGGGACUGAGACACGGCCCAAACUCCUACGGGAGGCAGCAGUGGGGAAUCUUGCGCAAUGGGCGAAAGCCUGACGCAGCCAUGCCGCGUGAAUGAUGAAGGUCUUAGGAUUGUAAAAUUCUUUCACCGGGGACGAUAAUGACGGUACCCGGAGAAGAAGCCCCGGCUAACUUCGUG